rnacentral:rRNA from 1 species
UACGGGGGGGGCAAGCGUUGUUCGGAAUUACUGGGCGUAAAGGGCUCGUAGGCGGCCAACUAAGUCAGACGUGAAAUCCCUCGGCUUAACCGGGGAACGGCCUCUGAUACUGGCUGGCUGGAGUUCGGGAGAGGGAUGCGGAAUUCCAGGUGUAGCGGUGAAAUGCGUAGAUAUCUGGAGGAACACCGGUGGCGAAGGCGGCAUCCUGGACCAACACUGACGCUGAGGAGCGAAAGCCAGGGGAGCAAACGGG